UACAUAUGUUGGACCUGACCUUAUUUCCUUG
rnacentral:piRNA from 1 species